GCGGGAGGGAUUUGAGGCUCGAAACCAAAGAUGCGCGUUCUCGUUAAUAAACUUCUGACGCCUUCAUCCGGGAAUCUGGUACGAACUCGCUCUCCAACAUGGCGGCGGCAGCUAAGAAAAAGGGGAAUAAGAAGGGGAAGACUCUGACCCUCACUGACUUCCUCGCAGAGGACAGUGGGAGUGGGGGCAACGCUCCACCACCGCAACCCAGCUACGCCAAGUCCACCAGCUGGGCUGAUGAGACCGAUGACCUGGAAGGAGAUGUGUCCACCUCCUGGCACACAGGGGAGGACAGUUACCGGGCCCCCGCAAUAGACCGUAACAUCCUGCCCACAGCGCCACGGUCGGCCCGUGAGCCCAAUGUGGACCGCUCACGCCUCCCACGCAGCCCCCCCUACACAGCCUUCCUGGGCAACCUGCCCUACGACGUCUCAGAGGAAUCUAUCAAGGACUUCUUCCGGGGCCUAGCGAUCAGUGCGGUGCGCUUGCCACGGGAGCCCAGUAACCCAGAGAGGCUGAAGGGCUUUGGCUACGCAGAGUUUGACGACGUGGACUCCCUCUUGAGGGCGCUGACUCUCAACGAGGAGAACUUGGGAAACCGCAGGAUCCGGGUGGAUAUUGCAGAUCAGUCCAAUGACAAGGAGGGGAGAGACAAUGGUCAGAUGGGUGGACGAGACCGGAUGGGCCGCAUGGGAGACAUGGCAGGCCCCGACAAGACAGACAGUGAUGACUGGAGGGCCCGGCCCACUGCAAACACCGACGAUGGACCCCCAAAGAGAGAGGAAUCCGCAUUUGGGUCACGCGACCGCUACGGAGACCGUGACGGGCUGCGAAGGGACAACGACCGCGGCUUCGGCGACCGGGACCGCGGCUUUGGCGGCAGAGACCGCUAUGACGACCGGGGAGGUGAGAACGGAGCCUUUGGCUCCCGCAGGGAUAGGGAUGACGGAGGGCGACGUGCCUUCGGCAGUGGGUACCGCCGUGACGAUGACGAUCAGAGUGGCGGAGGUGGUGGUAGCCGCUAUGGGGCCCGGGAUCGCUACGGCGGAGACCGGGAGGGCCGGUACGAGAGGCAGGACGAAGGGCGCGAGGAGAGAGGUGAGGGUGGUCCCACCGAGAGGCCCAAGCUGAUCCUGAAGCCGCGCAGCAUGGCCAAGGAGGAGCAGCAGGCCGGCAGCGGUGGGGCUCCCCCAGCUGCUCCAGCAGCCGCCCGCAUCUCUGGUCGAGCCUCCAUCUUUGGAGCGGCCAAGCCCGUGGACACAGCGGCUAAGGAGCGGGAGGUAGAGGAGAAGCUCCAGAGGCAGCUGGAAGAGGACCAGUCCAAGGGCUUCGAUAGGAAACCUCGCGACAGAGACAGGGACCCAAGCUGGAGGAAUGAGGAGCCACCUUCUGAGCGGUCCCGCACAGGAAGUGAGUCAUCACAUCCCGGAAGUACCUCUGGAGGGAGAGCCUCACGGCGCAGAGAGAGCGAGCGCUCAGUGGAGAACGAAGUAUUCAGCGGUAAGGAGGACGACCCUCCCUCUCCUGUGGCUCGCCCCUCUUCUGCCAACUCUUCCACCUUCUCCUCCAAGGAGCCCCUCAAGGUGAUGCCUGCACCGCCACCUAAGGAUAAUGCCUGGGCCAAGCGGCCUGCAUUGAGUACCGGGUCCGGCAAGGGAUGCGCCCCUAUCUCUACCAGUGACACGGCACCUCCCAAACUGAGCUUGAGUUCUACAAAUGAAAGAGGAUCGAAUAAGGACGAGAAUAAAGUGGACGGUGUGCAUCUGGACCGGGGCCCCCCAUGGGGGAGAGGUCGGGCCGCAGGGCGGGGCCGAGGAGAGGGGGCCAACAGAGACCGACAAAGGGAGGAAGACAGAAAGUCUAAAAGAAGAGGCCGAGACUCAAGACCUGCACCAGAGCCAAAGAAAUACGAAGAGUCCCCCACCCUUAAAUUCAGCUCAGCCAGUAAAUACGCUGCUCUGCUAAUGGACAGAGAGCAAGGAGAUGACGCAGAGAAUGGUGUGGAAUAAAACCAGAAGGGGAGAAAGAAGAGGAAAUCCAGAAUAUCACAUUAAAUAUGAACAUCUCCUCACCUGGAGUAGAGGCAUCUGGGAAAGUCAUCACUCCUUCCUUCUUUACUCAAAACCCACCCCAGACCCCUUCCCUACCCCCUCUCUUCAGGACUUUUCAGUUUCUAAAAAGAGUAGUCACAUACUGGACUUGUUUUAAAUGGAAAAGCGGAAUAGGAAGAAGUUUGUUACUGGAUCCUGACUUUCCAGGCUGACCUACCUGACCUUGUGUGCGGUAAAAAAGCCAGUAUUUAUUUAACUGACAGAAUAGGAUAAAGGUACAGUACAGUGCCUUCAGAAAGUAUUCAGACCCCUUCACUUUUUCCACAUUUUGUUACGUUGUAGCCUUAUUCUAAAAUUGAUUAAAUAAAUAAAAAGUCCUCAGCUAUCUACACUAGCCCACAAUGACAAUUCAAAAACAGGUUUUUAGGAAUCUUUGCGUAUUUGUAUUUAUUA